GGAUGGAUCAUCCGUCAUGCGCUACCAACAAAGAUCCAUGAAAAAUAGAGAAAGGCGACCGAAUAGUAAAAAAAAUAAAUGCAGAAAGAAGAAACUAAGAUUUACUUGGUUCGGCAAUUGCCUACAUCCACGGAAAGAGCGAAAGAGAUGUAUUCCACCAUAUAAAAAAAUAGAAGUACAAACAUACACCUUAUGUCUUCUUUCCAAUAAAAAACCAAGAGCCUUAUGAUGAAGCCCACAUUUCUCUUGUUCCAAUAAAAACUUCAAGAAAAUAUCAAAAAACCUUUUCGUAAAAUCAAGAAGACCAAAUUAGAGAAGUAUAGAAAACUCUGACCAAAAUCAUUUAUGCCGUUGUUUUGAAGAAUCCGAACCGCUCAGGCAAUUUGGUCCCGCUCCUGUCUGCCACCACGAAUGACGCACCUCGCACGGUCGAUGAAUUUUCGGGCCGUGGGGUAGUAUUCAUGAUUCAGAUGAGUAUUUAUAUGUAUGUGGGUAUCAGGUUUUGCGGGUCCAUGGCUUCUAAUAGAUGCAAGCAUCUACUGUUAAUUACCCCCUUGAGAUUGGGGCACCUUCGAUUAAGAGACCUUUAUAGAUUGGAUGAGAUGGAUCGUAUUUCGGUUUACUGAAUCCUAAGUAUAUGUAUUAGGAUUCAGUUGGAUUUGAGGUUGAUUAGGCCCUAAGUAUAUGUGUUAAGACCUGAUCGAUAUUAAACUCUAUGUAUUAGAGUCUAAUUGGUUCAUGAAAUAUGGGUAUGAGAUCUGGGUAUUGGUUCAUGGGAUUUGGGUAUUGGUUUAUGAGAUUUGGGUAUUGGUUCAUAGGAUAUGGGUAUUAGGUUGGGUGUAUGGUUCAUGGAAUUUAGUCCAUGAGGUUUGGUGUAUGGUUUAUGGGGUUUGGUCCAUGAGGUUUAAUUGUGAUUCAUGGGAUUUGGUUCAUGAGGUUUGGUUGGUUCAUGGGAUUUGGUCCAUGAGAUUUGGUUGGUUCAUGGAAUUUGGUACAUAAGGUUUGGUUUUAGUUCAUGGGAUUUGGUCCAUGCGAUUUGGUUGGUUCAUAGAAUUUGGUCCAUGAGGUUUGGUUUUGGUUCAUGGGAUUUGGUCCAUGAACUUGGUUUUGGC
rnacentral:lncRNA from 1 species